UAAAUACUAGCAUUUGCCAAAUAAUUUAAUUCCUAGUAUACAUACACAAAUAGACCUUAAAACAAGCAUGCAGGGCCCUAAAAACAAUUUGAGAACAAUCUAAGAUCAAAGUGAGCAUACAGUUUGAGACCAAUUUCUUGACCUUAAGACCUUAAGGAGUAACCUAACCAAAAACAAAUACGCAUCCAACCAUUUAACUAGAUAUAUCAUUAUAACAUAACAAUUUAAAAAUUCACAACUGUCUAUAUGCAUGUCACAUCCCAAAAUAGAAAACAUCUACCGAAAUAGUUGAAUACUGUGAGCUUCUAGUCCAUCCAUACGGUCAGUCCGCAAAUUUGGCAACUACAAAAGAACAUAAAUAAAACAAGUAAACUAAAGAAAUUUAGUAAGCUCAUAAUUUAAACAUCAAAUUAACUUACAUUAAUUGAAAUAAAUAUUCAAAUAGACAAUUUACAAGUUCACAAACCACUAUAAAUUCAAUGUAUUAAUGUCCAUAAUGAGCAAUCACAAGAUUUGCUACCAUCAACUAUUCAUUUUCAUAUGUACUCAAUUGCAAUAAUCGAUAUCAUAUAGGUAACAAAUAAAAGUUCACAUACAUGUACACAACUAACUAGAUAAAAAUGACAUAACAACAAGAAAUUUACAUUUACAUAUCAAAACACAAUGAACUUACCUACUAUCACUUCCGAUUAAAACGCAAGGAUUACUCCGUAAAUUUCCCCUUUCUUCGAUAUUGUCUUUUCGACUCGUUUCUUGAUCUAUAUAGUUAUUAAAUUCAAUUUAUUGAAUUCACAUACAUUUCAAACUCAAUUCAAUGCAUAAGACUCUUAAGUUUUUAUUAUUUAUACAUUUUCCCCAAACUUUUACAUUUCUCACAAAUUAGUCCCUAAACCCGAGAUUCCAAAUUUAACAAAAUUUUACAAUUUCCCAAGUUAGCCGAAUUUAUUCUUAUGCUAGGGCAGUCCAUAAUUAUUCAAAAAUUACACAAAUUCCAUAAAAUUUUAAUUAUUUUAUCAAUUUACUCCAUUAACUAAAACUAUCAAAAAUCAUUCAAUAAACUAAUUUUAACUAACUAACUAACAAUAUCUCAAUUUCACCAAUUAACAUAAAAAAUAACUAGCAAUCAACAAUGGCAAAAACCAAAUUCCUUAACAAUUUCAAAAACGAAGCUACGUGUUAGUUGAACCUAGUUGCAAUGAUCUCAAAAACACAAAAAUUACAAGAAAUAAGCUGAAAAAAGACUUACAUGCAAGGAGGGUUAUGGCCGAACCUCUCAAGUUCAACAAUGGAGCAUUCUCUUUCAAUUUUUCGGU
rnacentral:lncRNA from 1 species